CAAUUAAGAGUUUAAAAGCAAACAACUUAAGAUCCAAUGGCUCAACAUCACCUCACCACAUAAAACCCUAGAAGAGGCACCACUCCAAGAUUUUCUUGCACCCCAACUCCUUCCAAAAGGAGUCACGCACAAGGUGGACGCAUCCUAAGAAAACCAUGCACAAAGAAAAAAAAGAAAAGGAGGCAUGCAUGAGUCCUUCUGUUGGGGGGCACUCAAUCAAGGGUUGUGAAACAAACUUCUUAA
rnacentral:lncRNA from 1 species